UCCAUUUUUUUGAAAACGAGAAGAAUGCUGGAGGAACGCCACAAAAGGUUGAUCAGUACCGACAGCUAACAGUUCAGAACCUGCAGAUGACUCUCUACAAUGAGAAGCAAGAUGUUGGUUUACAGAAACCUUUUCUUGAAAAUGAAGCAGGAAAUCCUCAGGAUGUAUUGGAGUAUUUGGGCUCUGAAUGUUAUUGGCUUGGUUGCCUGAUGGCGCUGAACAACCCGCCUCUUCAGCCUGACUGGGAGAAUCAUCCUCCGUCGAUGGAUAGAUGGGACUUUUUCCCCCGAAAUAUCAGAAAUGCUUCUGAAAAUGAGUGAAAUGAAAUUAAUUAAGAAACAAUAUCGCUUUCUACAUCUUUAAAUCUGUGGGGAAAAAACAUAAGUGUGAGCUUUAAUAAAUCUUAAAACUCCACCUUUUAAAUUUAGUUGAAAGUAGAUGUUUGUAAUUAUUGUUUUUAAAAGCUCAAUAAAACCUAAUAAGUUUG